rnacentral:rRNA from 1 species
CGACUACUAGGGUUUCUAAUCCUGUUUGCUACCCACGCUUUCGUGCAUCAGCGUCAGUAAUGGUCCAGAAAGCCGUUUACACCGCCGGUGUUCCUCCUGAUAUCUACGCAUUUCACCGCUACACCAGGAAUUCCACUUUCCUCUCCCACACUCUAGUCCCGCAGUCUAUAGCGCACCCUCCCAGUUAAGCCGGGAGAUUUCACACCAUACUUACAGGACCGCCUACGCACCCUUUACGCCCAGUAACUCCGAACAACGCUUGCUGCCUACGUAUUACCGCGGCGGCUGGCAC